rnacentral:rRNA from 1 species
AGGAUAAACGCUGGCGGCGUGCAUGAGACAUGCAAGUCAUACGGGCGAGCUUGCUCGCUAGUGGCGGACGGCUGAGUAACGCGUAGGUGACCUACCCCGAAGUGGGGAAUAACUGCCCGAAAGGGUGGCUAAUACCGCAUGUGGUGGUUCGUUCGUUCGGAUCAUCAAAGCAGUAAUGCGCUUCGGGAGGGGCCUGCGUCCGAUUAGCUCGUUGGUGGGGUAACGGCUCACCAAGGCGACGAUUGGUAGGUGGUCUGAGAGGGUGUCCGGCCACACUGGGACUGAGAUACGGCCCAGACUCCUACGGGAGGCAGCAGUGGGGAAUAUUGCACAAUGGGCGCAAGCCUGAUGCAGCGACGCCGCGUGGGGGAUGACGGCCUUCGGGUUGUAACCCCUUUCAGUAGGACGAAGCGCAGUGACGGUACCUACAGAAGAAGCACCGGCCAACUACGUGCCAGCAGCCGC